rnacentral:rRNA from 1 species
UACGUAGGUGGCAAGCGUUGUCCGGAUUUACUGGGCGUAAAGAGCGCGCAGGCGGUCGUUCAAGUCGCGUGUGAAAGCCCCGGGCUCAACUGGGGAGGGUCACGCGAUACUGAUCGACUCGAAGGCAGGAGAGGGUAGUGGAAUUCCCGGUGUAGUGGUGAAAUGCGUAGAUAUCGGGAGGAACACCAGUGGCGAAGGCGACUACCUGGCCUGUUCUUGACGCUGAGGCGCGAAAGCUAGGGGAGCAAACGGG